UACAGAGGGUGCAAGCGUUGUUCGGAAUUACUGGGCGUAAAGGGCGCGUAGGCGGUCUUGUAAGUCUUGUGUGAAAUCCCCUCGGCUUAACUGAGGAACUGCACGAGAUACUGCGAGACUUGAGAUCGGGAGAGGGAAGCGGAAUUCCGGGUGUAGCGGUGAAAUGCGUAGAUAGUCCGGAGGAACACCGGUGGCGAAGGCGGCUUCCUGGACCGACACUGACGCUGGAGGCGACGAAAGCUAGGGGAGCAAACAGG
rnacentral:rRNA from 1 species